AGCGUUGCUAAAGCCGUCCGUCUGUGACUUGCACUCCUCCCAAGUUCUGUAGAUACCCGGACAGAACCCACGACGCACAACAUAAUAGGAAUAUUUACCCAUUCUCUGAAAAGUGGUAAUUAGAUGUUUUCAACAUAAUGAGUUUAUAUAUAUCAGCUUUCAAUUUAUUUUCAGCUUUCAAUUUAUUUAACUAUAUUUUCAGAUUUCAAUUUAACUAUUCUUUCAGAUUUCAAUUUUUAUUUAACUUUAGAUUUUGUUAACAUUAUGAGUUACCAUUACAUCAACUUAUUUCUUAUAAUAUAGUUCUCACAACUAAUCAAGUUACUAGUCUGUACUAUGUGUGUAAUUAAGAAAUAACUAAUACAAUCAUUAGUCUGUAUAUGCGUAGGAAUUAAUAUAAAGUCCUACGAUGUGUGUACAAACUAAUCAGGAUACUAGUAUGUACUAUUAUUUGUGUAAACAAUUAACAAUCUAUAGAUGACAAAAACAAUCUAUAUUAAAAAAAAUUCUUAAAGAAUUAUUAUAUGUUGAAACUUGAAAGCAUGAUUAUAUAAUAAAAACAAUCUAAACUCAAUUCAUAUACAUCACUUAAUUAUUAAAACAUGUCGGUAGAUACCUACUGCAUAUACAGAUACCUACUGCUGACAAAAACAUGUUUUCUAAUCUGCACUAAUACAUGGUAAAAGAAAUAACCAACCUUGAAAAGCAAAUGACGAGAGAAAGUAAAGACGAGUGAAGGGGAGAAAGCGAUGGACAAGAGAAAGCGAAGCUGCCAAAAAACAUUCAUAUAUCACUACUGCAUACAAUUUUUAGAACAAAUAAAAUAAUAAAAAAAAAACUCAAAUCAAAAUCAUACAUUUUUGAGCUGAUGUUUAAACGAUACUGGUCUGCAAAAGAUACUGGUCUGCAAAAGAAAAAUCCGUGCGACAAAAACACACAUAAACAUUCAUCAGAUAUUAUCAACAUAGAAUCUAGACAUUACAUACAAAUAUAGACAAACAAAAGAAUUUUUAGAAAGGUGCAAAAAUGUAGGAGGAUAUACCAGUAAGAAUCAUGAACAAUGUGAUACAGUAUAGGAACAACUACUACCAUGUUGCUACCAAACACUAUGUGCAAAUAUAACAAGAAAAAAAUCUGAGUACAAUUUAAACUUGCUCGGUUAUUCCAUUCUUUGCUGAAUAAGAAAUUAAGCAGGUAGAGAUAUACAUACAGUAACACUAUUAUAUUGGUCAUUGGUGUACGUAAGUGUAGUUGUAUCAAAAUCAAACCAUCAUUCUAGUAUAUAUUAUAGUAGCAGUAGCAGUAGCAGUAGUGGAUUAAAAUAUCUGACGAUUUAUCUAUCUAUCGCAGUACACGGGACAUUUCUGGGCAGUAAUGAACAUUUGUAUUACAUAUGAUGAAAAAAGAUGUUCUCUUGGAUUUUUAUAGUCUCCCUCAUUUGUGCUAAUGAGUCUGGCUGAUUUGUCUGUCAAUCAAUUCACACUGUAAUUUUUUUUCAGUACGUGCUCCUAAAGGUAAGUUGUUUUUUCGCACUUUUGAAUCACAUGUUGAUGUUCUUGUGGAGAGCAACAAUGCACCAAGCUGUCAGUGGUCUAGUAACUGUGCUCGUAAAUUAUUUAAAAGAUUUGUAUAGCCUUCCAAGGUGCUUUUUGCUACCAAUUUAGCUACACACCCCCUCAUUGCCAAUUCCUUUUUCAGUAUAAUUUCAAAUUUAACAUACACCAAUACAUAUAGCUGGAUUGCUACUGUUGAUGAUAAAUUUAGUAGCAAGACCAUCAAUAAUUCUAGUACUUAUUACUAACUACCUUUCACACCAAAACCUAGUUAUCUGCCUAAUCUGAUAAUUUAGGAACUUUAGUUGCAUUACCUCUCAUCAUCUGCAGAAUCCAAAUACAGUAAAUGUUAGGGUCCUGAUCCUGCAAAAAAAUGAAUGAAAUUUCUAAGUUAACAUCAUCAGAACAAAGAGCAUGUCUUGUAAAAGUGUUUAACCUGCCUUAUUGAAAGUAAUUCAAUCACUUCAAUUAUUGCAAAGACGCAAGCAAAUAUCUACCUGACUAACAUUAAUAUAUGUAUAUAUACUCUCAAGAGUCGAGAGUCAAGACUACUACUACAAUGCACACUACACAUUAACACACUCAAUGAUUCAACAACCAAUUACUCUUCCCUCCAACCAGUCAGUUCUAGAUUUCUAGCUCCCAUGUAUGUCAGUUUCUCCCUCAACAUCCCCGCUAUCCAGUAAAAAAUAAUAUGAUGAAUGAGCACAAUAAGACAGCACAACUACAUCAAAAAGAGCACGUGAAAACCACCAAUAUGAUAAACAGGAAAGACAACUUCCACAAUUUGGCCUAAUUUGAGUGUACUUAAGCACAUCAACGUUCAUAGCACUGUGGAAGAUGAUCACAACCAUUAAAAUAAUCUUCUGUUUAAAAUUCAAGGAUGGUUUCAAAUAAGACCAACCACAACUAAUCAAUGUCAGCAAGAUAGCAAAAGGAACUUCACUAAACAAAACUCCCCCGUAAGCUAAAGUGGUAACGAAAAAGCCUUGUGAGUAGCCAAAGUGUUUGAUGAAAAUAUUCCGAACUAGCCCAGUUAAAUGACUCAACACUUUGAUGAUCAAAACUACAAGUAUAGCAAUGUGAAUGCGCAAAAGUUGAUUCCCUUUCAGUUUGAUAUAAUAAACAUGAAUAUUCCAAAGCGAAAAGAAAAUCAAACACAUAUAAAUCAUUAAACACAAAGUGAAUCCUAGGAAGUAAAACCUUGGUCCCGGAUAAAUAAUUCCUCUUAUCAAAUUCAAGAUCAUACAUAGAGCUUUUUACAACCAUGGAAAACCGAAACUCCUUGUUAGAAAGAUAAUUAAUGAAAUAAAGACUGUAGAGUUCUUGUUGUUGUUUUUCUUCUUUAUCUUCAUUGGAGAAAACGAAAUCAAAGUUUUUGGUACCAUUGAUGAGUUUAUGAAAAGAGAAACCUGCUAUAGACUUUUCAAUAAUACUAUAAUCAUCAUAUCUAGUAAAGAGAAAGAAACCAACUGUAGAGAAAUUCAAGUUGAGAUUUGAAUUGGAAAGAUAGAUAUCAGAAACAUUAAUUUCUAUACGACCUCAUUUUCCUCCAUUAGUGAAUUGAAAAGAAUCAAUGAAUAAUAUACUUUAAACAGAAACAUUAUUGUUAAAUAUACUUUAAACAGAUAUCAAUUGAAAAGAAUCAAUGAAUAAUAGAUAUCAGAAACAUUAUUGUUAAAUAUAUUUGAAUUCAUAUCAUAUACACGAAUCUCUGCAAAUGUAAACGUGAAUUGCAUGCAAUUGGAGUGAUUUUAAACAGAAUCUAGGGUUAGGGUUAUAGUCGAUAAUGAUAUAUCAGAAAACCCCAAUCUAGGGUUAGGUUUUUCGAAAAAAAAUUCAAAAUUUUCGAUUCAAACAACAAGUAGAAAACAACAAGUAAAGAAAGAACAACAACAACAACCAAAUCAAACAAAGAAGAGAAGAAGAAGAUGAAGAAGAAGAAGAAGAAGAAGAAGAAGAAGAAAUCUGUUUGAAAAAUACUAACCUCAAAACUUCGAAAAAGUAUAAAGAAGAAGAAGAAGAUGAAUAAUAUGAAGAAGAUAAACAAGAAGAAGGAGAAAUAUACCUGUUUUAGGGUUCGAAAUCGGUGUCGCCAGGUUAAUCGCCUCUACUGCGCCGCCAUCACCUGUUCUAGGGUUUUUUCUUGUUUAAGCUUGGUUGUUUUUGGCAAAGAUGUAAUAUAUACUUGGCAAAUUGUAGAGGGUUAAGUGGCAAAGCAAAUUUUGCCUGGGGGGUACCCAAGCAAA
rnacentral:lncRNA from 1 species